GCCGCGUGUAGGANGACUGCCCUAUGGGUUGUAAACUANNNUUUAUAUNNNNAAGAAUAAGGUCUACGUGUAGAUCGAUGACGGUACCAUAAGAAUAAGCACCGGCUAACUCCGUGCCAGCAGCCGCGGUAAUACGGAGGGUGCAAGCGUUAUCCGGAAUCAUUGGGUUUAAAGGGUCCGUAGGCGGGCAUAUAAGUCAGUGGUGAAAGUCUGUGGCUCAACCAUAGAAUUGCCAUUGAUACUGUAUGUCUUGAAUUAUUGUGAAGUGGUUAGAAUAUGUAGUGUAGCGGUGAAAUGCUUAGAGAUUACAUAGAAUACCGAUUGCGAAGGCAGAUCACUAACAAUAUAUUGACGCUGAUGGACGAAAGCGUAGGUAGCGAACAGGAUUAGAUACCCUGGUAGUCCACUGC
rnacentral:rRNA from 1 species